rnacentral:rRNA from 1 species
AGAGUUUGAUCAUGGCUCAGAAUCAACGCUGGCGGCGUGCCUAACACAUGCAAGUCGAACGAGAAAGCGGGGGCAACUCCGUGAGUAAGGGCGACCGGGUGAGUAACACGGACCAAUCUACCCUCGAGUGGGGGAUAACUCCGGGAAACCGGAGCUAAUACCGCAUAACAUCUUUGGAGCGCAGCUGGAGAUCAAAGGAGCAAUUCGCUUGAGGAGGAGGUCGCGGCUGAUUAGCUAGUUGGCGGGGUAAUGGCCCACCAAGGCGAAGAUCGGUAGCCGGCCUGAGAGGGCGCACGGCACACUGGAACUGAAACACGGCCAGACUCCUACGGGAGGCAGCGUGGGGAAUUUUGCGCAAUGGGGGAAACCCUGACGCAGCAACGCCCGGGAGGAUGAAGUCCCUUGGGACGAAACUCCUUUCGACCGGGAAGAUAAUGACGGUACCGGAUGAAGAAGCACCGGCUAACUCUGUGCCAGCAGCCGCGGUAAUACAGAGGGUGCGAGCGUUGUUCGGAAUUAUUGGGCGUAAAGGGCGCGUAGGCGGUGCGGUAAGUCACCUGUGAAAUCUCCCGGCUUAACUGGGAGCGUGCAGGCGAAACUGCCGUGCUGGAGUGUGGGAGAGGUGCGUGGAAUUCCCGGUGUAGCGGUGAGAUGCGUAGAUAUCGGGAGGAACACCUGUAGCGAACGCGCCUGGCCACAACUGACGCUGAGGCGCGAAAGCUAGGGGAGCAAACAGGAUUAGAUACCCUAGUAGUCC